CAUUGAAACACCUGUUCCUGUAUGAUCACCGAAGUUAAGCAAACUUAAGCUUGGUCUGUACCUUGAUGGGUGAUCGUUUGGGAAUACCAGGUGUUGUAAG